AUUGAACGCUGGCGGCAGGCUUAACACAUGCAAGUCGAACGAGUGGCGGACGGGUGAGUAAUGCUUGGGAAUAUAGCUUAUGGAGGGGGAUAACUACGGGAAACUGUAGCUAAUACCGCGUACACUAGGAUGAGCACAAGUGGGAUUAGGUAGUUGGUGAGGUAAAGGCUCACCAAGCCGACGAUCUCUAGCUGGUCUGAGAGGAUGACCAGCCACCCUGGGACGGAGACACGGCCCAGCCUCCUACGGGAGGCAGCAUUGGGGAAUAUUGCGCAAUGGGGGCAACCUGACGCAGCCAUGCCGCGGUAAUGAAGAAGGCCUUCGGGUUGUAAAGUUCUUUCGGUAGCGAGGCGUUAACUACAGAAGAAGCACCGGCUAACUCCGUGCCAGCAGCCGCGGUAAUAC
rnacentral:rRNA from 1 species